rnacentral:lncRNA from 1 species
GACAAGUUCAUUUAUCAGUAAUUCAUCUUCUAUUAUCAACUUGAACAAAAAUUCCGUCAUUUCUUCAUUUACCAAUCCAAUCAUAUGUCCCCAUUAAAAAAAAAAAAAAAUGGAAAACUCCAUUGGCCUGACAUCCAUGUGAGUUGCCUCAUUUGUGGUUCACUUGGUGCUCUGCUGAUGUGAGAAGCCAACCUAAAUUAGAAACGAUGAGGGUAGUGCGAGAGGCCCACAGCUGCCUAUCAUGGCUCCAUCACGGUAGGCUCCAUGUCUAUGGUGAUAUUCUCUCCCAGAUCUGGAAACGAUUAACAGAACAUAAGUUACAUAACAUAUAAAGUGGCGGGCUGUACCUACCUAUACUCAUAUUAUUCCAAGCUGCCAAUUCUGUUGAGAUACAGCACUCCGAUAUAUAUAUUGCACUAGAUCAAUGAAUAAUUGAAGAGUAAACUGCCGAUUUACCCCCUGAACUAUCACCCAACUUUCGAUUUCCCCCCUGAACUUUUUAAUUGGAAAAUUAAGGACUUAAACUAAUUUUUUGGGCCGAUUUCCCCCCUACCGUUAGUUUUUAAUAGAUUUUAUCCAAAUUAACGUUAACUCUUAUCAUGUGCAAACCACGUAACUCUCAUUUGUGAACAAAACGUUACUUCACUAUACAUUCAAACACAAAAGCUAUAGAAUCACACAUAUUUGCAUAGGUUUAUAUUAUAGAAAUAUAAGGUUUUCAAUUAUUUUAAAUAAUGAAACGACCGAACGACCCACACAUGUUGUGCACAUGCUUCCAUUUAACAGAAAUUUGGAUGGAAUGAAUGAAAAAUUAACAUCAGGGGCAAAUCGGCAAAAAAAUUAGUUUAAGUCCUUAAUUUUCCAAUUGAAAAGUUCAUGAUAAAAUCGAAAGUUAGAUAACAGUUCAGAUGGCUAAUCGGCAGUUUACUCAAUAAUUGAAUAUGCGGUUAAGGAUAUAAGUGAAUCCUUACUAUGCAUCAGUGCAUAGGAAAAAAGACCCCUUAACUUAAUUUAGACCAUUUACUUAAUUUUUGUAUGAUUCAAAUGCUACCAACUUCUGUAUAUGCAAUUGCCCUCACUUCGACUAUUGUUAGAUAUAAAGUUCUCCAACGUUUCUCUGAUAUUGUCGACGAGCAUGGAUGUCACGUACAAGAUGCUUGAAAAAAUGUUUCAAAUAGUCUUAGGCAUGGAGGGGUUACCAAUAUAAUCGAAAGAAUUAUCAAAAGUGUGACACAAAUUAGGUAAAAUAAUUAAACUAGGCACAUGCAUAUGAUAGUAAUGAAAGGAAAAGAUGAUGGUGUAUUGAUGUUGAGGUUGUUUCUUGGACUCAAAGGAGAUGAUGAAAGAUCAAGUCGGCGACAUAAUUGGGAACGAAAAGAGGGCGCGUGGAGGAUAGUAUGAUAAUUGGGAAGCGAAAAGAGUGAGAGAAAACUGCUGAAAAGCAGCGCGGGCGUGCGUAAUUUAUGCACUUUUCACGUUGGGGAUCCUUCUAUUAGCGCCAUCUGCGGGAGAUCUUUUAGGGUCCGAUGAUACAUUACGUGUCACUUUAUAAGUUAGAUGAAUUUUUAUAUUUUAAGUUGUUUAAUUUUUCAAAUAAGUAUCUCACAACUUGUUUAAUUACAGAUAAUGUCUCGCCCUGUGUUCUGAGUAUUCGGUUCACAUCCUUCUUUUUGCUAAUCCAUUGAUUAAAAUCCUAUUCAUUUUUAAUUUUUGAUCAAGAUCCUUGGAUAUUAAUAACAUCAUUAAUUAUUUGAAUAAUAAAAUAUUUUUAUUUUUAAAUAUAUUCUUUUAGUGUGAAAAAUGUUACAAUUAGUAUAUUUAUAUUUAUGGCUAAAUUUUUUAUCAUAUAUUUAUAUUUUUAGUUUGUACCUAUUUUUAAUUUGUACCAAUUUUUUUUUCAUUUUUAAUUUGUACCGAUAUAUUAGUUUCUUUUUUUGCCUAUAUUUUUUAAAGUUUUAUUUGUAUUUGUACCCAUGUGUAUACAUUCACGUGACAUUGUAUAUUUAAUCAAUUAUAAAAAAAAUUACAUAUCAUAUAUUUAUGUUUUAUGCCUAAACUUUGUAUCAUAUA